CGAGAACUGAGAACCCACCGCUCAACCCCACAUGGGGUGACUGCCGAGUGCCCAUACAAACGGCUCUGAUCUCCCUCAGGGAUCAUGGCACAAGUUGCAGUUUCCACCCUGCCCAUGGAAGAUGAGGAGUCCAUGGAAGAUGAGGAGUCCAUUGAAGAUGAGGAGUCUGUUGAAGAUGAUUCCGUGGAAAGCAGGAUGGUGGUGACAUUGCUCAUAUCAGCUAUCGAGUCCACGGAUCAUGGCAGAAGUUGCAGUUUCCACCCUGCCCAUUGAAGAUGAGGAGUCUGUUGAAGAUGAGGAGUCCUUGGAGAGCAGGAUGGUGGUGACAUUCCUGUCAGCUCUCGACUCCAUGGACACCUGAUUCCCUUCUUCCUGCCCUCGGACAUGAGACUCCAGGUUCUUAUGCCUUUGGACUCUGGGACUUGCACCAGCGGCUUCCCCGAGGCUCUCAGGCCCUCGGCCUCAGACUGAAGACUGCACUGCGGGCUUUCCUGGUUUUGAGGCUUUUGGACUUGGACUGAGCCACUACUAGCUUCUCUCUUUCCCUACCUGGCAGACAGCCUAUUGUGGGACUGCCUUCUAACCGUGUGAACCAAUUCUCUCUGGUAAACUCCCUUAUACAUAUACGUGUAUCUUGUUGGAUCUGUCCCUCUGGAGAACCCUAACUAAUAUAUUUUGUUUAUUUUUUCUCCACUGCCCUUUCCUCUGCUUCUAGGCUUACCUAGACCACCACCAUUCUUUCCCCCUUUCUAAAGUAAAAGUUGUUUUUUUUCUCACUAAAUGCAUGGUAUUCUGCCCGUUUUCCAUGGCUUCCCUCAGCCUUGCUCUGUUUAUUCUUGCUCUCUUAAGAGGAAAUCCCUGCCUCUUCCGUGGCUUUUCCCACUUGGUCUACUUACUGGUUUCUGUUGUUCUCAGAGACACACUGAGACCUUUCACAUCUCACUGUCACUUCUUGGAAGGGCUCUCUACCUCGUCUGCCUGCUGAGCAACCUCUUGGGGAGACACGGGCACUCCUGAGUCACUGAACUUGAGCUAUUUGGUGUUGGUAUGUUAAUUUAUCUUCUUAGACCACUUACCACUUCCUUAACUUCAAAAGAGAAGAAUAAGUAUUAUUUUCCAUGGUCAAUAUGAAGAGUAGAAAUAACUUAUACAAAAUGCAUUGCAGUUAAGUGAUAAUAAAUGGCCGUGAAUGCCCUUAUUAAUGUUAUUCUAUCAGUCUCAGCUCAGAUACCAUCUGCUCUGUGAGCUCUGCUCUGAAUCAUAUCUGCUUCUUCUCUGGGUUUCUUGUGCUCUGUUCUUAACUACUUUAAAGCAGUAAUUGUUCUGAUUCUAAUUAGUGAUCCUUCCCAAUAAAAUUUUAAUUUCAUAGAUCUCUUCCCCCCACCCCUGCCCCAGCCUAACCAGUGUUUUCUUACUUUAUUGUGUACAGGCUACAUCACUGGUCUUCUUUUAUUUGUGGCUAAAUAAAUGUUGUGUUAGAAGAGUAAAGAGUUCCCAGUUACAUGGGAUCUAUAGUUCUACAAAAUGAAUGUAUACAUAAUCCAUGUAAAUAUUUCAUUUAUUUUAAGACAAUUUUUUAAUUUUUAAAUUAAAUUUAAUUUGUUCAUGUGUGUGAGACCAGAGUGAGAACAGAGAUGGUGGCGGUGAGGGGUGGUGGUCUCACCAUGUUGCCCAGGCUGGUCUUGAACUCCCCUUCAAGUGCCCCCCUCCUCACCUGGCCCUCCUCACCUUGCCUCCUCCCCUCUCACUCCUAUGCCAGCCCCUGCCAUUCCCCACCCCCUCUGUAGACUGCAAGACUCAACAAGUGACUUGCUGAGCAAACUCUGCUGAGAAGAGGUCUGUUUAGGGACACAGGAGGCCAAGUACACAAAAAAGCAAAAGAACUAGCAUGCCUUUUUCAAUGGAUGUCUAUUUUACAGGGCUGGCUUCAGAUUAUUGUUAUAGCUUUAAAUAAAAGGACCGUUUUGUCAUCUUGGCCCAUGACCUACAUUAUUUCUUUACUGUCCAUUGCCCUGGACACUUGACUAAUUAUUUAACAGCAGUUUUUUUUUUUUAAUUUUAAAUCAUGAUUCAUUGCAUUGCUGUAAGAGUAAUUAGAGGUAAAGUAGGGCUUGAAACUGCCUGUAGUUGGUUACUUACUGAGAUCUUAGCAUAAUUGUCA
rnacentral:lncRNA from 10 species